AUUGAACGCUGGCGGCAGGCCUAACACAUGCAAGUCGAACGGUAACAGGGAUCAGCUUGCUGAUUCGCUGACGAGUGGCGGACGGGUGAGUAAUGUCUGGGAAACUGCCUGAUGGAGGGGGAUAACUACUGGAAACGGUAGCUAAUACCGCAUAACGUCGCAAGACCAAAGAGGGGGACCUUCGGGCCUCUUGCCAUCGGAUGUGCCCAGAUGGGAUUAGCUAGUAGGUGGGGUAACGGCUCACCUAGGCGACGAUCCCUAGCUGGUCUGAGAGGAUGACCAGCCACACUGGAACUGAGACACGGUCCAGACUCCUACGGGAGGCAGCAGUGGGGAAUAUUGUACAAUGGGCGCAAGCCUGAUGCAGCCAUGCCGCGUGUAUGAAGAAGGCCUUCGGGUUGUAAAGUACUUUCAGCGGGGAGGAAGGGAGUAAAGUUAAUACCUUUGCUCAUUGACGUUACCCGCAGAAGAAGCACCGGCUAACUCCGUG
rnacentral:rRNA from 1 species